rnacentral:rRNA from 1 species
GACGACCGGCGCACGGGUGCGUAACGCGUAUAGAACCUACCUUAUAUUGGGGGAUAGCCCAGAGGAAUUUGGAUUAAUACCCCAUAGUAUGCUGAAUUGGCAUCAGUUUAGUAUUAAAGAUUUAUCGAUAUAAGAUGGCUAUGCGUUCUAUUAGCUAGUUGGUAAGGUAACGGCUCACCAAGGCGACGAUAGAUAGGGGUCCUGAGAGGGAGAUCCCCCACACUGGUACUGAGACACGGACCAGACUCCUACGGGAGGCAGCAGUGAGAAAUAUUGGACAAUGGAGGCAACUCUGAUCCAGCCAUGCCGCGUGCAGGAAGACUGCCCUAUGGGUUGUAAACUGCUUUUAUAGAGGAAGAAACCGCUCUACGUGUAGAGCUCUGACGGUACUCUACGAAUAAGGAUCGGCUAACUCCGUGCCAGCAGCCGCGGUAAUACGGAGGAUCCAAGCGUUAUCCGGAAUCAUUGGGUUUAAAGGGUCCGUAGGCGGGCUUAUAAGUCAGUGGUGAAAGUUUGCGGCUCAACCGUAAAAUUGCCAUUGAUACUGUAGGUCUUGAAUCAUUGUGAAGUGGUUAGAAUGUGUAGUGUAGCGGUGAAAUGCAUAGAUAUUACACAGAAUACCGAUUGCGAAGGCAGAUCACUAACAAUUGAUUGACGCUCAGGGACGAAAGCGUGGGUAGCGAACAGGAUUAGAUACCCUGGUAGUCCACGCCGUAAACGAUGGUUACUAGCUGUUUGGACUUCGGUCUGAGUGGCUAAGCGAAAGUGAUAAGUAACCCACCUGGGGAGUACGUUCGCAAGAAUGAAACUCAAAGGAAUUGACGGGGGCCCGCACAAGCGGUGAAGCAUGUGGUUUAAUUCGAUGAUACGCGAGGAACCUUACCAGGGCUUAAAUGUAG